CCCAGGUGGGAGAGUUGAACCACCUUUCAAAAUUGUAUUUGAAUUUAUCGCGAACGAAACGACAAAGCGUUCAUUGGUCGCACUCAAGAGGCCAAUCAUAAGUAUGCAGAAAUUUUGCAUCUUAGUGGUGUGGUUCGUCAGUGACAAUGUAAAACGUGUUUUUGUUGCUGCGGAGUGUAUUUUCUUGUUUUAAGUAGUUUUGUGAUUGCUGUCAUAUUUAUCGAGUGCCAACUUGUACGAUGCCUUUUCAAUACAAGCCUCCUGAAAAUGCUCGCAAACGAAAAAAACUCACAAUCAUGGAAUUGCAAAAUGCCAUAGAUGAAAUUUAGGGAGGCGCUUCUAUUCGACAAACUUCAAAUAAAUAUGGCAUA